UACGUAGGGUGCGAGCGUUGUCCGGAAUUAUUGGGCGUAAAGAGCUCGUAGGCGGUCUGUCGCGUCGGUCGUGAAAACUUGGGGCUUAACCCUGAGCUUGCGGUCGAUACGGGCAUGACUGGAGUUCGGCAGGGGAGACUGGAAUUCCUGGUGUAGCGGUGAAAUGCGCAGAUAUCAGGAGGAACACCGGUGGCGAAGGCGGGUAUCUGGGCCGAUACUGACGCUGAGGAGCGAAAGCGUGGGGAGCGAACAGG
rnacentral:rRNA from 1 species